rnacentral:lncRNA from 1 species
AAAUCAGUUCUACCAAAUUUCUAUCAACAUGUUAAAUGUGCAACCAGAGGGGGAAAAAAGUCUGAUACACCUGUACUCCAUACACAGAGACGUGUACAAAGCUCUCCCUCGCCUCCAUCUGGUAAAUCCGACCACAACUCUAUCCUCCUGAUUCCUGCUUUAAAGCAAAAAAUUAAAGCAGGAAGCACCAGUGACUCGGMCUAUAAAAAAGUGGUCAGAUGAACUACAGGACUGUUUUGUUAGCACAGACUGGAACAUGUUCCAGGAUUCUUCUGAUGGCAUUGAGGAGUACACUACAUCAGUCACUGGCUUUAUCAAUAAGUGCAUCGAGGACGUCGUCCCCACAGUGACUGUACGUACAUAUCCCAACCAGAAGCCAUGGAUUACAGGCAACAUUCGAACUGAGCUAAAGGUCAGAGCUGCCGCUUUCAAGGUGCGGGACUCUAACCCGGAAGUUUACAAGAAAUCCUGCUAUGCCCUGCGUCAAACCAUCAAACAGACAAAGUGUCAAUACAGGGCUAAGAUUGAAUCAUACUACACAGACUCCGACGCUCAUCUAAUGUGGCAGGGCUUGCAAACUAUUACACACUACAAAGGGAAGCACAGCUGCGAGCUGCACAGUGACACGAGCCUACCAGAUGAGCUAAAUCACAUAUAUGCUCGCUUCGAGGCAAGCAACACUGAGGCAUGCAUGAGAGCAUCAACUGUUCCGGACGACUGUAUGAUCACGCUUUCCGUAGCCGACGUGAGAAAGACCUUUAAACAGGUCAACAUACACAAGGCUGCGGGGCCAGACGGAUUACCAGGACGUGUGCUCCGGGCUGGUUCUGACCAACUGGCAGGUGUCUUCACUGAUAUUUUCAACAUGUCCAUGAUUGAGUCUGUAAUACUAACAUGUUUCAAGCAGACCACCAUAGUCCCUGUGCCCAAGAACACAGAGGCAAUCUGCCUAAAUGACUACAGACCCGUAGCACUCACAUCCGUAGCCAUGAAGUGCUUUGAAAGGUUGGUAAUGGCUCACAUCAACACCAUUAUCCCAGAAACCCUACACCCACUCCAAUUUGCGUACCGCCCAAACAGAUCCACAGAUAAUGCAAUCUCUAUUGCACUCCACACUGCCCUUUCCCACCUGGACAAAAGGAACACUUAUGUAAGAAUGCUAUUCAUUGACUACAGCUCAGCGUUCAACACCAUAGUACCCUCAAAGCUCAUCACUAAGCUAAGGAUCCUGGGACUAAACACCUCCCUCUGCAACUGGAUCSUGGACUUCCUG